GCCAGUGUGGUGCAGUGGUUUGAGCAUUGGACUAGGACUCUGGGAGACUAGGGUUCUAAUCUCUGCUCAGCCA